GGGUGUAAUAUCUCCUGAUGGGCGUGUGGUACCCUUCCUCACCCAUGUGGACAAGAUAUUACUUCUUGUGGGGUCUUUGCCUUGACAUUGGCUGAAUGUGUUCUGAAGGGGGAGUUGAUUGUCUUUUCAAAUACGGACAAAGAUGUUUAACAUCAUGAGAGAAGAAAUAGCAGUCACUCUCCUCCAAAACACUGAUGACAUGAGCCAAUUGUGCCACUUCUGUGGGGAGGUGGACAAUAAUGAGGAAGACACUAACUGGAUUGGUUGUAACCGCUGCCCACGUUGGUUCCACCAGUCCUGUAUGAAAACCAUCUCAUCAUUGGAGGAUUAUGUGUGCGCUGCCUGUCAGGACGAGGUUAGGCUUGAGUUCCAGGUGGUAUCACCUGGGAAACUUUCC